rnacentral:rRNA from 1 species
AGUGAACGCUGGCGGUAGGCCUAACACAUGCAAGUCGAACGGCAGCACAGUAAGAGCUUGCUCUUACGGGUGGCGAGUGGCGGACGGGUGAGGAAUACAUCGGAAUCUACUUUUUCGUGGGGGAUAACGUAGGGAAACUUACGCUAAUACCGCAUACGACCUACGGGUGAAAGCAGGGGAUCUUCGGACCUUGCGCGAUUGAAUGAGCCGAUGUCGGAUUAGCUAGUUGGCGGGGUAAAGGCCCACCAAGGCGACGAUCCGUAGCUGGUCUGAGAGGAUGAUCAGCCACACUGGAACUGAGACACGGUCCAAACGCCUACGGGAGGCAGCAGCGGGGAAUAUUGGACAAUGGGCGCAAGCCUGAUCCAGCCAGACCGCGUGGGUGAAAAAGACCUUCGGGUUGUAAAGCCCUUUUGUUGGGAAAGAAAAGCAGCAGGUUAAUACCCCGCUGUUCUGACGGUACCCAAAGAAUAAGCACCGGCUAACUACGUG